AGGGGAGGUGGGUGGAGGGGGAUGGGGUAACUGGGUGAUGGGCACUGAGGAGGGCACUUGAUGGGAUGAGUACUGGGUGUUAUACUAUGUGUUGGCAAAUUGAAUUUAAAUAAAAACAAAUGUAAAAAAAUAAGUAAAACUGGUUUCUGGAGUUCUCAGGUUAUUUUUUUGUUCUUGUCAUUUUUCAGCUUUUUAACAGGGGAUAGAACUUGCAGAAGUCAUUUUGUGACCUUGAGGAAGAAAGUCAUACACCAAGAAAGGCAGAGCAAAAACUCAGAAUGACUGGAGUUCUUGCUGACAUACCAGCUCUGGAGAGAUUUCCCCCUAGAGAAGAGGCGUGAAGGCAAGAAUAUGGAAGAAAUGAAAUUUUGGCUCUACAACUGGUUACCGUCACAUAAGGAUUCAUCUCAAGGGGUCUCCUAUUGAUGAUCUCAGCUCUUGCUCUCCACUUAUUCCCCUUUUCAGAUUUCUUUCAUCCUCCUAUGAUACACGGGUUUUCUGGAUGGCAGACAGUAGACAAGAUUAAAGUAAAAGACAAAAUAUAUCUUGAGUAUUUUGUCAGAAGAACAGACUUAUCCCUGCUUGUUGAACAUAAUAGGACUGGAAAGAGCUUUUAUAACUGGGCUCUGGUCAACCAUGGCAGAUCAUGGUACCCUGGGAAGAUCAGCCUCACUGGGAUUCAAGUUCGUCAGCUGAAAAAGAGGGGGAGACAUUAAAUAAUCUGUAAGGUUUCUUCUAUUACAAAUUGCCAUGAUUUCUUCUUUACAACUUAUUUCUCAUUUAGGAAGAAAAUGGGUAAAACGCAAGGUAUAAAAUAUGAAUUGCAUUGUAUAGUAGGAAAUCAUGAACUUUGUCUUGGCAUGUUUUUUUCUUUUCAGCUAACAUUGUUGAAAUUCAGUUAAUAUUCAAUAAACUGUACAUAUUUAAAGUGUACA
rnacentral:lncRNA from 12 species